AGCGAACGCUGGCGGCAGGCUUAACACAUGCAAGUCGAACGCCCCGCAAGGGGAGUGGCAGACGGGUGAGUAACACGUGGGAACGUACCCUUUGGUUCGGAAUAACUUGGGGGAACUCAAGCUAAUACCGGAUAAGCCCUUAUGGGGAAAGGUUUACUGCCGAAGGAUCGGCCCGCGUCUGAUUAGCUAGUUGGUGAGGUAAUGGCUCACCAAGGCGACGAUCAGUAGCUGGUCUGAGAGGAUGAUCAGCCACACUGGGACUGAGACACGGCCCAGACUCCUACGGGAGGCAGCAGUGGGGAAUUUUGGGCAAUGGGGGAAACCCUGACCCAGCAACGCCGCGUGGGUGAUGAAGGCCUUCGGGUUGUAAAGCCCUUUUCCAGGGGAAGAUAGUGACGGUACCUUGGGAAUAAGCCCCGGCUAACUACGUGCCAGCAGCCGCGGUAA
rnacentral:rRNA from 1 species